CCCCUCUCAGAGUCAUACCUGGAGAGUUUCCAGUACUCUACCAAUCUUGACUACGAGAGGGAGAGCCAAACAGAGGCAUACUCAUUCCAUUCCUAGCUUGGGCAGUGGCUCGCUAGUGGAAGGCAUUCUGUUGCAAGU
rfam:Ornithorhynchus anatinus chromosome 6, whole genome shotgun sequence.